CUAGUAAUGGCAGGUCAGCAUACUGCCGUGAAUACGUUCCCGGGCCUUGUACACACCGCCCGUCACACCAUGAGAGUUGGGAAUACCCGAAGCCUGUGAGCUAACUAUUAGAGGCAGCAGUCGAAGGUAGAAUCAAUGAUUGGGGUGAAGUCGUAACAAGGUAUC
rnacentral:rRNA from 1 species